rnacentral:lncRNA from 1 species
CUUCACCCCUGGCAAGUCACUGUCGUCUUGUUCCUCUCCCGGCCUCGGGACACAUCAGUCAGGACAGAGGCAGAGCAAUCAGCUCCACGUUGCCGGCCAACUGCAAGGGGCGGGGGCAAAAGAAAUGUUUAAUUUAUCACUGGUUCCAAGAACUGAGAAAAAAGUAAUAAUAAUUCUGUCUUGAGCACCAAGAGCAUGUUAUUUACAGCCGCAAAACUUUCACAACAAUUUGAAUGCAAAACAGGGUGCGUCGUAUUCAUAGCCGUUUGUCCCAAUUGGAAAGGAAGGCAUUUGAGAGCAAAAUAGCACUUUGCUGCAAACUGCUCGCUAAGAAAAUGGCAAGACAGUCUGUGUUCUGAGGGAGGCUGGGAGCUGGAAAUGGGCAGGUACCUGAGAAAAACAGAACAAAAGCAGGUGCAGAAGGCGGUCAAUGGCAGCCUGUGCCAAGCAGAGCAGGGUGGCUUUCUUUUUAUUUAAAAUAACAUUUUUAUUGAUUCCUGAAUUCCUGCCCAGUCGAGACUGGGGAGGCAGGAAGCCACAUGGACGAGGUGCCUGGGGAGAAAGCCCACGGUCUCCCAGAGCACGCCCUCCCGAGGCUGCUUCCAUUCUGCACCGCGUGGCGGGGGCGGUGGACACAGCCGACUCAGUUUCCCUUGCUCUUACAGCGAGCACCAGCCCUUCUCUCCCAGGAGCUGAGAUGAUUCAUGAACGACCGAGGAGAGAUUUGAAGAUGAAAAAUGUCCUUGCCGUCUUGGGGAUUAAUCAUCGCAUAACGCAUGCUCCCUCUCUGCGUGCCGACUUAAUUACCUGCCGUCGACAAAACGAUUCUCCUCCCGCUCCUCUCCGGAGAAACGCUCCCGUUUGGAGCCCGCGGUACAGAUUCUCGGCAAAGAAUCAAAGCUCUCUUUGCAGCAGCGGAAAGGCUCGGGAGUGUUUGUAUAGAAUGAGAGAGAACAAAAGCAGCCUCUGCUGGAGAGGGGCCUCCCAGAACUGGCACGGGGCUGCCACAAGGACGGAUGAACUACAAGCGACGGCAAUGGGCUUCUGCGCAGACGGCCCUACAGGAAGCUCUGAGAUAGCACCCCCUGCGGUCCCCUGCCCACCACCACCCCAUUUUGCUUUUCUUCAAAUUGAUCUCCACCUGACACAGUGCAUGCCAAUGCUGGUCUCCUUCUCCCCCACCCAGGGGGAGGUGGGGAACCUCCUGAGAGAGAACCCGCUGUUGUGUUCAAGGCUGUGUUUCUGGGGCACAUGAGGCCCGGGCUGGGUGCUCAGUGAAGCUCUGAUGAGUGGAUGCAAGGCUUUCCAGGAAAGAAGGUGAAGGCACGAGGAUGGCUUAGGAGGAACGGGAGGGGACCAGCAGAGGAGCCCAAGGACAGGAGGUUACAGAGCGCCCUGGCAGCCUGGGAUGGGGGUGCCAUCCUCUUCGUAAGCUGCACAGCUGCCUCAACCCCUGAGCAGGCACACAGCAGGCACGGGUAGGGGUCCUUUCUCCUGGCACAGACAGCCCCACAGCCCAUGGGGCGGCAGAGCCUCCACCCCGGACACUCCUGCUCCCGGAUGCAGAGCAAGAGGUGGCUGUGGCCUUCAGGGAUGUCACGCAGAGGCUGACGGGAGCACGGUUCACUGAGAGAGAGAAGCCAGCAGGCCUCAGCCAUGGAAGCCGGUGCCCGAUUGGUGCCCAGCUGUGAUUAGAGAGUCCUAUUUCAAUGUGGGCCCCUCAGGCCCAUGUCCAGAGGCCUCUGUCCCAUGGAGAACUGUGCUCGGCACACCGUUUCUGACCCUCUUGAAGGAUUAUCUGCUAGUCUGGGGGCCUGGGUGCCAUGUUCUGCAUAGACAGCCAUGACUGGGAUGGAACCUGGACCAGCCCCCGGAGCAGCUGAGUGUCUACCCAUCGGUUCAAACAGAAGGACCCCGGAUGUCUGCCUUGGACAGCCAGCCCAGCUCUUUGUGGGCUGAUGGGAGCUCCCCUUUCCAGGGCUCUGGGCCUGUCUCCAGAGCUGGAAGCGCUGAGGACUCCCAGCCCUGGCCAUGAGAAAUGACAAAGCCCACACCUGCCCACCCUGUUUAUGUCCACCCUCCUGUGGUGGAUGCCCUUGUCUCGUCUCUGUGAUACCGUGGGCUUCCCUUGGCAGAGGCUUCGUCACAAAACUCUGACUGAUGUUUACUCAUCUCUCUCCCCAGCAAGCCCCGGGGAGCAUCUCACAGGCGGCCACCCCGCCAGAGCCACCCACCUCUCCUAGUGCUGGGUCACUGCACGCACGCAGGGCUGAGUCCUCCACUCCCCCCAUCUGCCUUUGGAGCCAGAAAAUCACUCACUGGCAUUCAUCAAGUCCCCGAUUCAGUUUUAGGGCUGGAAGGACCUCCUGAGGCCUGCCUGUGUUCAUUCACUGGUCCGUUCAUCAUUCAUUCAGUAGUGGUUCCAGGUACAUUGCUCAAGAAAGAGAUGUGAUCCCUGAGUCCCUGGCCUCAGUGCGCUGAGAGACAAGUGAAGUGGUCCCAGGGCCACGGUGGGAUGCAGAAGGUGCAGUGUGUCCUGCCAGUGGGGAGACGGGAGAGUUAUGACUGUCCGGUGCAGACAAGACGGAAGGACGAAUGGCCAUUAUCAGGUAAAUACAAGUGCCCAGGGCAGAGACUCUGGCCCUGGGAGGCCUGGGGGUGGGAGGGUGAGUGCCCAGGCGAGGGCCAUGCCUGGCACUCACACGAUGAGUCGGGCAGGGAACGCAGCUGGACCCAGAGGGCCUGGAGGCUGUGAGGAGGGCGAUCUGCCUCUUUCUGUAACAGGACAGCCCAGGAGGGUCUGUGCUUAGGGGUGCCACAUGCCCCUUAUGCUCCGUCUCACAGCUGGGCCCAGUGGCGCAGGACUGCCCGGGAUAGAGAGGCGUGCGGUGACCUUCCAGGCUGCAUGCAGCAGCAGAGGGGUGGGGGUGGCUGGGCCUGGGCAGUGGCAGCAGGGGAAAGGGACGUGGACGGAGGUGAAAUGGACAGGUCUGUGGAUUGUGGGGAAGCCUGGAUGUGGGGUGGGGGGGCGUCAUGGUCUUCCCUGCCCCUGCAGAUGAGGUAGCAGGCUCUUGGGGCAGCUGGGAGAGGCAGAAUUGGGCUGCUCUGCUGAGGGCUUCUGCACAGAGUUCCAAAUUCCAGGAGCUUCUAGGGGCUGGGACCUGCCUGCAUAGUGAGGUGGAUGAGUCCAGGCCUGCGGCACGUGGCCUCUGCCAUCGGCUUUGCUCUCAGUGCAGAGCCGGCCUCGUCCUCAUUGUGUAGCUCAGGAUUUGGAGGCCCAGAGAGGCAAGGCCAGCACCCGCACGGGCCAGCUGCAUAACCCAGGUCCAAUUUCAGGUCCCAGAGCCAGGCUCCAUGGUGACCCACUGCCAGGGAUGACGGGCAGACUGCCACUCCCAACAGAGCCUCAGCUUUGUCACCUGUAGGGCAGGAGAGCAGCAAGACCUGCUUGGAAGUUGAGCGUCCCCAUGCCCAGCAGGCAUCCCGCCCUCCUCCGCCUCUUCACAAAGGCCAGUCAUCCCGUGCUUCCGACACCAGGGCCAGGAGGAGCAGUGUCCCCCUCUCUGGGCCCGUAGGCCUUUGACAGGUGGAGACACCUGUCCCUGCUGGGCCCCAGGUUUGUAUCUGCAGCCACAGAACAGAGCAGGGAAGAGCCAAACUGACCCGCCAGGAACCUCAGCUCUUCCCUGUCUGGGUCCUGCCCUGACCAUAUCCGUCACUGUCAACACCAGGAGGAGAGCAUGCGGCGGCCCAUGCUUCCUGACAGCAGCCUUCCCUAAAGAGCCAGGCCCACCCCACGGACCCCAACCUGGGGUCUCUCAAAGGCUCUGGGCACUGCCUUGGCUGAAGCCAGUCCUGAGCUCCAACUUAGGGACAGAACCAGCCACCUUGGUAGAUAGGGCUUGGCAAUCUCCCAGAUUCCCGAACACACCCCAUAGGCCCCUUCCAGCCUCAGGUUUGGAGAGGCAGAGGGGGAAAGGUCCCAGCUAAGCCAGCCAGGGGCAGGGAGAAGGUGCGCUGGUCUGGUCAGUUACCUCCCUGACUUCCUCAUCCAUGCGGCAGCUGAAGCCUGUGACAGGAAGAGGCAAAACCAAAACCAAACCUGUCCCUAAAGGUUAAGCUUAUCGGUCCUUACGUGAGAGUGUGAAGUGUUUUAAUUGGGUAAACUGAUGCAUCCUGUUAGCUGAGCUAAACCAGACAGAGCUGAUUGGAGGAGGCAGGGCUGAUUUCAAAGAUGAACCUCCAGCCAAGAGUGCCCGUGAAGACGCUCGGGCUUCCUCCUGCAAAGCUGCAGGUCCUCAUGUGCCCGAUGCUCUCCCGCUAGUGGUUAGCUCUGCAACCGCCUCCAGGUUGCCUCAGUUUCCCCAAAUGUAAAAUGUACAGUGAAGUCCCCCCUCCCCUCCUGCACCAUCCCAGGUGGCUCUUACUGAAGGUCGGCCACUCUGGUUAGGUCACGUGCACAUCCUUUACAUGGAAAAUGAUUGAAAUCUGCACCUGGACAGUGCUAUCAGCUGUGGGCCGCCAGCUCUGCAGGGACCCGAGGCCCCAGUGCAGGCUCAGAACGAGGCAGAAACAGCCCCAUGCACCGCUCCAGGCAUCCACAUUCUCAGGGACCAAUCACCCUCCUCCGUGCCUGUCUGGGCCACCAUGGGAGCGAUUCGGGGCUGCUCAGGCCUUGGUCCUCUCGUCCUAAGGGAAGAAAGCUGAAAAUACCUAGAUGUCUAGAUGGCCCUGGAUCCACGACAGUCUCUGUCCGGAGCACAGGAGCUGUGCAUGACCACGCCACCGAUUUCCUCUUGAGAGACUUCUAGCGGUGGGGGGGCUGUGGUAGCAAAUACAGAGUGUGUAUGAUCCCAACAUUAACCACGCAACUCCUAGCCUGCAACACUUAAAAGAGGAACCUGCCACCCUCCACGAGGCUGGAGAAGCAGCGGGAGUUUCCAAAAGGCAGCUUUGGUUUAAACCACAAGAUAAUGGAGGGAUCUGCAUUUUGCUGAAGAAACCGCAAGCUACCCUCUGACAUUGUUUCACUUCUUUUUUGUUGUUCCUUUUUGAACAUCUCUUAUUGAAGCAAUUUCUGGGCAAAUCACACAAAUAAAGCGCUUGAGAAACAGGUUAUAGCCCA